GAUGAACGCUGGCGGCGUGCCUAAUACAUGCAAGUCGAGCGAACGGACGAGAAUCUUGCUUCUCUGAUGUUAGCGGCGGACGGGUGAGUAACACGUGGAUAACCUACCUAUAAGACUGGGAUAACUUCGGGAAACCGGAGCUAAUACCGGAUAAUAUUUUGAACCGCAUGGUUCAAUAGUGAAUGACGGUCUUGCUGUCACUUAUAGAUGGAUCCGCGCUGCAUUAGCUAGUUGGUAAGGUAACGGCUUACCAAGGCAACGAUGCAUAGCCGACCUGAGAGGGUGAUCGGCCACACUGGAACUGAGACACGGUCCAGACUACUACGGGAGGCAGCAGUAGGGAAUCUUCCGCAAUGGGCGAAAGCAUGACGGAGCAACGCCGCGCGAGUGAUGAAGGUCUUAGGAUCGUAAAACUCUGUUAUUAGGGAAGAACAUAUGUGUAAGUAACUGUGCACAUCUUGACGGUACCUAAUCAGAAAGCCACGGCUAACUACGUG
rnacentral:rRNA from 1 species